GAUGAACGCUGGCGGCGUGCCUAAUACAUGCAAGUCGAGCGAACGGACGAGAAGCUUGCUUCUCUGAUGUUAGCGGCGGACGGGUGAGUAACACGUGGAUAACCUACCUAUAAGACUGGGAUAACUUCGGGAAACCGGAGCUAAUACCGGAUGAUAUUUUGGACCGCAUGGUUCAAAAGUGAAAGACGGUCUUGCUGGCACUUAUAGAUGGAUCCGCGCUGCAUUAGCUAGUUGGUAAGGUAACGGCUUACCAAGGCAACGAUGCAUAGCCGACCUGAGAGGGUGAUCGGCCACACUGGAACUGAGACACGGUCCAGACUCCUACGGGAGGCAGCAGUAGGGAAUCUUCCGCAAUGGGCGAAAGCCUGACGGAGCAACGCCGCGUGAGUGAUGAAGGUCUUCGGAUCGUAAAACUCUGUUAUUAGGGAAGAACAUAUGUGUAAGUAACUGUGCACAUCUUGACGGUACCUAAUCAGAAAGCCACGGCUAACUACGUG
rnacentral:rRNA from 1 species